GUCUCUGUAGUACAUUAAAUACACUGGUCUUGUAAACCAGAAAAGGAGAACAAUUAACCUCCCCGAGACU
rnacentral:tRNA from 1 species